CAAACCUGCUCUAUAAAUGUGCCAUUCCCUUCAGCUCAAUUUCUGUGACUUUGGUCUUAAACGCUUGUGCACAAACAGUGAGUAUUACAUUAGUGUAACAUAAACCUACUGUUAAUGUGCCCCAACUCAAGGCUAGACGCGAUGUUGAGUCAAACUUAAUACUUGGUAGAAACUCAAGGUAUGGCAGUGGGUAGCUCAGCAGGUGUCUUGAUGGCACUGUGAUGUCUUGAUGGGCGUGAGAUGUGAUCCUCUAAUGAGGGGGUGGGGGUUUGUGGGUGUUGCUGCAUGCACCUGAGGUACCGGUGAGGCUCAAAGGCUUUGGGGAGCUGCUACUGAGGGGCAGCAGGCUGUGGUGGGUCUGUUGGGGGGGGGUCUUGGGAAAGGCAGUCACCAGUGCGGGGGGUUUACUCCUUCAGUGAAUACCCUUCACCAGCAAGGUGUCAGGCCCCCACCAGCACCAUCAUUCUGGCUCAGAUGUCCUGCCUAAACCCAGAGCUGGGGCUUAGCUUAUAACUCACUUUCCAGGACCAGUGUGAUGGCCUUGACUGGGAUGACUCAAUUGGGGAUGCAGGCUGAAGAAAUGGGAUGAGAGCAGAGAAGAAAGCAUCCAGGCAGCAGCUCCUGCGCAAAAAUUAAGAUGUGGACAUCAGCUGGGGGAUGAUAUUUCCCAGGGCCUAUUCCUCAGUCUGCUGCCUCCAGGCAUGUUUUGUCACGUGUACCUCAGACCAGGCAAACAGAGUACAGCAGGCAACUUGUGUGAUGCUUGGCCUAUCCUGUGGAAUUGAAUGUUUUAGGCUAUGGCGGAUGGGUCACAACACUAUUCUUGUGCCAAGCUUACUUUGUCAACAACCCUGACAGAAAAAUCUGGGGGUUCGGACGCUUUGUCUGCUACGUGCAUGUGCCCAGCAGCAGUGUGAAGAUGUUACGUGACCAGCCUCUGAAUCGAAGCUAUUCUUAGCAGGAAUCCUGCACCACCGACCUCCUGGCGGCUACAGCACAUUCGCAGCUGAAAUAGCUGAGCUUUGUCACCGGGGAGUAAGGUUACACACUCAACUUGGACUUGACUUCCAGAGCCAACCAUGUGCUGCUCAAUAGUGUGAGUGCAAGGGGAGACACCUCAUGCCUCGGGUGACGUGGGCCAACGGCUGGCAUGGCGUCUGCUAGGCGUUGCUGGAUUGCAGCUCAGGUUGGCCUGAAACGGUGGGAGAAGAGAAGGUGGGUUGAAACCAGGCGUGACUGAACUUGGGAAGUACUCAACCCUGAUCAAUAAAAGUGGGAGCAGAAAACUGACGUGUUUAGGC
rnacentral:lncRNA from 1 species